rnacentral:rRNA from 1 species
UACGGGGGGAGCAAGCGUUGUUCGGAUUUACUGGGCGUAAAGGGCGCGUAGGCGGCGUGACUAGUCACUUGUGAAAUCUCCGGGCUUAACUCGGAACGGUCAAGUGAUACUGUCGUGCUAGAGUACAGAAGGGGCAACUGGAAUUCUCGGUGUAGCGGUGAAACGCGUAGAUAUCGAGAGGAACACCUGCGGCGAAGGCGGGUUGCUGGGCUGAUACUGACGCUGAUGCGCGAAAGCCAGGGGAGCGAACGGG